ensembl:lncRNA
CCUCAGAAUAGCAAGAAAGAAAAGCAUCAGUCUCUGAAAAGAAUGUAGAAAUUCUUUGUGUUUUUCACUCCAAAGUUGCACAAAGAUGGCACAUGAAUGUAUUAUCUUGACGUGGAGAUUGAUGUGAGCAUUGGGCCUGGGGAAGGAUCAAAAGGGCUUUUAUGCCCCAAAGAAAUUGCAGAAGAUGAGGAACAAAGGAUAGUCUGCACUUUGAAGAGUAGGAAGAAACAAUGGGGAAGAGCAAGAACAAGAAUGAUCAUUGUCUUCUCACUGCUCUCAGGAAAUGAAACAAGAGUUUUCAACAGCUUUUCUUAUGCAGGAAGAAAAAGAAUGAAUUGCAACGUCAACAGAACAACAGUCCUAGUGUUCAGAGGAGUAAUGGACUUCCAUGGUUGCAUCCAGACUACUAUGGCUGACUGAAGAAGAUGGAAAUCAAAGCAAUGGUUUAGCUGGUCUAAAUCCAUUAGUUAGAGAGGUAAUACAUGAGCUGCUCUAUACCUGAAUUUAUACUUGACAAGCAAGGUAUUUGCUGCUGUACUCCUGAAAUAAGUUGUCAUACUGACAAGCAUGCUUGUCAUUGAUUUUUAUUUCAGAAAGAAACAUAGUCUUGGCCUCCAUGUGUGUAAAGCAAUAUAAUCACAGCCACGAGGCUGUGCAGCAUUUUGAUAUCAUAUAUAGUGAACUACAAUUUGAAUCUCAGAAAUUAGCUUCUGUUUUAUAUCACUAUGCACACAG